GCAAGGAAAGGAACGAACGUGCUUUGUGGACCUUUGAUGUUAUUUUGAUAAAAGGUACCGUGGACACUUUGAUUUCUUAAAACAGCUAUCUUCCACCACCUUAAGUCUGCUUUAGAAAUGGGCUUUGAGAGGGGUCUCGUCAAACAAACAGUCCAGAUCAAGAUUCUGACCAGUGGAGAGAACUACAGAACAGUCCAGGAGCUAGUUUCAGACCUUCUGAGUGCUGACGAUCAAAAAAAGGGAAGAGGAGCGCGAGAUGCUGGCAGAGGCAAUGGCAUCAGAUGGUUUCACCUUUGUGAAGAGACACCAGGCAGUGUUGAUCCAGUGUCUGAAGAGCGUGGAGCCAGUGUUGGAGCAUUUGAGAGAGCAAAAUGUUUUAUCUGCUGAGGAGUACAGCGGUGCACCGCAGCAAACUGCCAAGUUGAUGAUAGAGCUCAUCCUGACAAAGGGUUUUUCGCAACUGGAUCCAGAAAAACGAUGUCCACCUGCUCCAAGAUCUCAUGGCUCAGUCAAACGAAACAACUUCACCAAGCCAAGUGUUAUCAGAACUUCCUAUGGAGGAGCAGCUGUGGCGUUUGCAGAUGGAGCGUACCUGUAAGGUGUGUUCAUCCCAUGUGGACAUCUGGUGGUGUGCAAAGAGUGUGCACCGUUACUGGGAAAGUGCCCAGUCUGCAGAGGUUUGGUUAAAGGCACAGUCUGAACCUUCCUCUCAUAAACAGUCGGCUGUGAGAUGUGUUCCUGCCACAGUAUUGUCACAAAGAUGUGAUUGCAUGCAAGCAAUACAAUAUAUAAACUCAGAACAAUGUUCAUUUUAGAAAAAAAAUAUAUAGAACACUUGACGCAGUUUUUUUUUUUUUGUUUUUUUACAUAAAUCCUUUAACAGCUUUUUUAUUUCAUUUUGUGGUAGACACAAAAACAGUUUCUGUCCUUGUCCAGGUAAAAAUGCACCUUACAUUUUUCACAGUAGGCAUGAUAUUUCAUGUACUUUAUUUUUCUCUCUUCUAAUCUUUUUGACAUCUGAAAACACACACAAAUGAUUGGUCAAUAUAGCGUAGCAAUUAUGAUUUUAGAGGAAAUGUUAUUGUGACAAUACCCGAAAUGUAUUUUAAGAUGGCAUUUCAGUCAAUAAGUAUUUUAAUUAGAUCAUCAAAAUAGUGUGUGAUGGCAUGACCUAAAUCACAUUGCAAAAAUGUGACAUUCAUUUUCAGAGACACACAUUUUUAGCACAAUGUUAUUGUUGUAUAAUGAAUAUUUGUAUGUUCAUUUGUAUGAAUAUGUGAUUAUGCAUUGUUUGAACACAGACAAUAUUUAUUUUAAAAAAGGAGUAACAAUAUACAUGUUACUCUUACCGCAACUUCUUGAAAAUUAGCAAAUUUACUACCCAACACUGAUCACAAGCCUACAGUCCAGCCAUUCUGACAAGACCUCAUAAUAGAAAUACAACAAACAUUAUAUAGAAUUCAGAUGAUGGGACAGUAAUAUGUUUAUGGAUACCAGCACACAUUGGGGUUAAAGGGAACGAAAUAGCAGACAAGGCGGCAAAAGCAGCAACAGUACAUAAUAAUAUAGAUUUCUUUCAAUGUCAGAAAUACCAAAGGGAGAGAGAAGUAAUGAUUAAAAAGUUGAGAGACAUUGAUGAGGAAUUGGAGUUGGUAGAUGUAUUGUGGAAGAACCGGAGUGAGUGUUACAAGAUAUUACUUCAGUUUCUUAAAACCACCAAGUUGAUUGGGAGGAUAUAGGAUGUGUGUGUGUGUAUAUGAAUGGUGUAUGUAUAGGUAUGCAUAUAUAGGUUUGUUUUUUUUGUGUGUUUUGUAGUAUGCAGAAAAAUUAUUGUCUGCUUGAUUUAAUUUUUUUAAUGUUUUUAAUGUUUUAAACUGUUUUUAUUUCUAUAGGCUAGUUGAUUUUUUUUAAUUUCCAAUGUAUUUACUUGCUUCUGUAAAGCACUAUAUAAAUUGCCUUGUGUAAUAAUGGCGCUAUACAAAUGAACUUGCCUUGCCUAUGUAUAUCUGUAUAUAUAUAUAUAUGAUUAUUAUUAUUUAUUUGAUAAUUUUUACUUUUUAGUAAUAGUUCAGUUUGAUCAACGUUUCGACCCACACUCCAUACCAGAUGGUGGCGGUAAUGCACGAAAUCGUUGUUUGCCAACCGCCAUAAAACCUCAGAAAAGAAGAAGAAGGCGCAUAAAGCGGAGACUCGUGACACACAACACACCUGCUCAUCUUCACGCAGGUGUUUUUCAAUCAGCUGAUGACUGCUAAUUGCUUCCUCCUCCUCUUCUUAUUUAAUCUUCGUCCAGCCAACAGUUCCGUGAUGUUACUUUGAAGAGAAGCUGCACGAGCCGUGGAACGAAAAAAAAGACGCGAAAAAAGUGUCGCUGCUUAACUAGUGAAACUGUUCCGGGAGGAGGGAAUUUGUGACGGUAAUGCACCAACCGCCAUAAAACCUCAAAAAAGGAGGGAACUUUAAAAAAAAAAGAAGAGAAAAAAAAUUAAAAUAAAACUACCACGGCGUGACGUCAGACGCCGAAAAGGUGGCCGCGUGCAUCAGCUCCUGUAUAGAAACGCAGCAAGGCGCUCCAGGAUGGCGUGUUCGACCUGGUCCAGAUUGGUGUCCCGUCCAGUGUGGAACAACCUGCUUCCUGCUCACGGAGACCUGGUCAGACCCGCCAUAUACAAAAGGCUGAGGCAGUUUAAAAAAAAAAGAUUGAUCUUCAUGAAGAUUGUCAAAUAGUAGGUGUCCUGAUUUAAUUUUGGGUGGCCGCUGUGUCCCCACUCUUUCUUGGCCGCCGUGCCUACAUCUAUCUGCAUUGUCCAACAUGGCCACGUUCUUUCUAUUCUCCUGCUUUCUUCUGAAUCUGUCAAAUAGCUGAGGGUUGUACAUGGAGCAUUUGCCACAGGUUGGUUUUGUAUGUUCCUGUCCACUUUAUUGGGUGGUCUGAAAUCUGGUCCUUGUUGGUUGUAUUUUUGUGGAACUGCUGAGAGAGUGAUUUGAAAGAAUGAGGUGACUGAUGGAGUGUUUUUAAAAUACUCUCUCUGAAUGAAUGGGUUGUGUGUGUGACUGAGAUUCCUGGAUUGAAUAGUUAAAAUGGUCUGAGAAUAUGAUUAUGUUCAGCAGUUCACAUUAAAGUAGAUAUGGUGUCUGGAAGGGCUUAGAUGCUUGAUAAGUUAUAAUGCACUAACAUUUCCUUUUUAGGUCCGUCUACAAAGGGUGAGUCUAUAUUUUUUUAUUUCUUCUCUGGGGGCUACCAUCUUGGCCUCCAUGUGUGGUAGGGUUUGCAGAGUAGGGGAAUAAACAAAAAAGAACUUGUGUGUUGGGUCUUUUUUGUGAAGGUACUUAGGUGUUGGCCACUGACUUGCUAGUCUGGCUGGCCACAGCUAAAUACCGAAUCACACUGACAAUUUACAUGCAAAGAUAAGAACACGCCUCUCUAUGGAGGCGUUUUCUUGCCUUGCCACUGUGCCCUUAACCACUUUUUCUUUCCAACUGUUUCUUAGGACGGUAAGUUACACGCAGGCCGCGGGCCAUCGCUCCUCCGGCCGCCGUGUCGAUCUGUCCUGGCCCUCCUCGUGCCUUUCCUCACUUCUAAAAGGAAAAAAAAAAUCAACUUGAACUGUUUUCUUUAGCACUAAAAUAUAGUGGAUGUUGGAGGACCAGAUCUUAAAUGAGGUUUAAAUGGAUGUUGGUGUACAGUUAAAGCUAGAUGGUACGAAUAAAAUUAAUGUUGUGCCUUGUACACUUGUAUACUGUCACAAGGCUUAGACUUCUUGGCCGCUGUGCCUUUUUUUAUUUUCUCUCUCUCUUUUCCAUCGUGGCCAUUAAUCUACCGCUAGCCCUAGAACGCUUAAAUAGAUCCUGGUGAUCUACAGUACCUGGCUUUAGAUGGCAGCUUUGCCAUUGCCUUUGUAUGGCCAUACGUCCCUUAAUGCAAGUCGGCCUUGAUCGCUAACUGUGCCCGCGCCUUCAUAGUCUACUUGUGUUAUUGUACGUCUGGCCUUGCGCGUAUAGUCAUUUUACAUAGGCAAACAUGGGUGCCUUCCGCGUCCAUGCACAGUAAGUGAACUAACCUGUACUUUUCUUUUAGCAUCAGUCAAGAGGAGCACCGACAUCCCUGCAUGUCCAUCUUAAUUAGAUUGCGUUUUAGUUAGGUUUAGGUAAAAUUUAGGUAUGGUAAGUGCAGUUUUUCUUUCUUGCUUGGCCGCCGUGCCAUUACUAUACCUGCUCUGACCUGAAUCUUGAUUCUUCAUGGCCACUGUGUCAUGACUGUACUUGGUCUUGGUGUUCAUGCCAGUCUAUCAUUUCUGAUCUGUUUUUCCUACUGUGUGUGUGUGUUUUGACUGACUUGGAGUG